rnacentral:rRNA from 1 species
GAGUUUGAUCCUGGCUCAGGAUGAACGCUGGCGGCGUGCCUAAUACAUGCAAGUCGAGCGAACCGAUUAAGAGCUUGCUCUUAUGAAGUUAGCGGCGGACGGGUGAGUAACACGUGGGUAACCUGCCCAUAAGACUGGGAUAACUCCGGGAAACCGGGGCUAAUACCGGAUAACAUUUUGCACCGCAUGGUGCGAAAUUGAAAGGCGGCUUCGGCUGUCACUUAUGGAUGGACCCGCGUCGCAUUAGCUAGUUGGUGAGGUAACGGCUCACCAAGGCAACGAUGCGUAGCCGACCUGAGAGGGUGAUCGGCCACACUGGGACUGAGACACGGCCCAGACUCCUACGGGAGGCAGCAGUAGGGAAUCUUCCGCAAUGGACGAAAGUCUGACGGAGCAACGCCGCGUGAGUGAUGAAAGCUUUCGGGUCGUAAAACUCUGUUGUUAGGGAAGAACAAGUGCUAGUUGAAUAAGCUGGCACCUUGACGGUACCUAACCAGAAAGCCACGGCUAACUACGUGCCAGCAGCCGCGGUAAUACGUAGGUGGCAAGCGUUAUCCGGAAUUAUUGGGCGUAAAGCGCGCGCAGGUGGUUUCUUAAGUCUGAUGUGAAAGCCCACGGCUCAACCGUGGAGGGUCAUUGGAAACUGGGAGACUUGAGUGCAGAAGAGGAAAGUGGAAUUCCAUGUGUAGCGGUGAAAUGCGUAGAUAUUGGGAAGAACACCGGUGGCGAAGGCGGCGACCUGGUCCUUG